UGUGCCAGCAGCCGCGGUAAUACGUAGGGUGCAAGCGUUAAUCGGAAUUACUGGGCGUAAAGCGUGCGCAGGCGGUCCGCUAAGACAGAUGUGAAAUCCCCGGGCUUAACCUGGGAACUGCAUUUGUGACUGGCGGGCUAGAGUAUGGCAGAGGGGGGUAGAAUUCCACGUGUAGCAGUGAAAUGCGUAGAGAUGUGGAGGAAUACCGAUGGCGAAGGCAGCCCCCUGGGCCAAUACUGACGCUCAUGCACGAAAGCGUGGGGAGCAAACAGGAUUAGAUACCCUGGUAGUCCACGCCCUAAACGAUGUCAACUAGUUGUCGGGUCUUCAUUGACUUGGUAACGUAGCUAACGCGUGAAGUUGACCGCCUGGGGAGUACGGUCGCAAGAUUAAAACUUAAAUUAUUUGACGGG
rnacentral:rRNA from 1 species